UGGGGAAUAUUGCACAAUGGGCGCAAGCCUGAUGCAGCCAUGCCGCGUGUGUGAAGAAGGCCUUCGGGUUGUAAAGCACUUUCAGCGGGGAGGAAGGCGUUAAGGUUAAUAACCUUGGCGAUUGACGUUACCCGCAGAAGAAGCACCGGCUAACUCCGUGCCAGCAGCCGCGGUAAUACGGAGGGUGCAAGCGUUAAUCGGAAUUACUGGGCGUAAAGCGCACGCAGGCGGUCUGUCAAGUCGGAUGUGAAAUCCCCGGGCUCAACCUGGGAACUACAUUCGAAACUGGCAGGCUAGAGUCUUGUAGAGGGGGGUAGAAUUCCAGGUGUAGCGGUGAAAUGCGUAGAGAUCUGGAGGAAUACCGGUGGCGAAGGCGGCCCCCUGGACAAAGACUGACGCUCAGGUGCGAAAGCGUGGGGAGCAAACAGG
rnacentral:rRNA from 1 species